rnacentral:rRNA from 1 species
GUAGGGAAUCUUCGGCAAUGGGGGCAACCCUGACCGAGCAACGCCGCGUGAGUGAAGAAGGUUUUCGGAUCGUAAAGCUCUGUUGUAAGUCAAGAACGAGUGUGAGAGUGGAAAGUUCACACUGUGACGGUAGCUUACCAGAAAGGGACGGCUAACUACGUGCCAGCAGCCGCGGUAAUACGUAGGUCCCGAGCGUUGUCCGGAUUUAUUGGGCGUAAAGCGAGCGCAGGCGGUUUGAUAAGUCUGAAGUUAAAGGCUGUGGCUCAACCAUAGUUCGCUUUGGAAACUGUCAAACUUGAGUGCAGAAGGGGAGAGUGGAAUUCCAUGUGUAGCGGUGAAAUGCGUAGAUAUAUGGAGGAACACCGGUGGCGAAAGCGGCUCUCUGGUCUGUAACUGACGCUGAGGCUCGAAAGCGUGGGGAGCGAACAGGAUUAGAUACCCUGGUAGUCCACGCCGUAACGAUGAGUGCUAGGUGUUGGAUCCUUUCCGGGAUUCAGUUGCCGCAGCUAACGCAUUAAGCACUCCGCCUGGGGAGUACGACCGCAAGGUUG